rnacentral:ncRNA from 1 species
CACGGGAGUCCCGGGCACGGGGACUGAGAGUGGGCCCGCCGGCCCUUACCGUCACACCUGAUCCGGGUCAUGCCGGCGAAGGGAG